UUUAGCCUUUAGACUUAGACAGUUUUCAUUCCUUGUAUUUUUUGUUUGUAUUUAAUAAAAGUCCAAAUCCUAACCUAACCUAUUACAAACUCCUAACCUUUGAUUAGGAGUUUGUAAUAAGACCGUCUAGCGUUUUUUUUUCGUAUUUUUCUGCCUCUCCUGUGUUGCUGAGAACCCGGGCCUCCUGCUCCAAAGACUUGACUUCGCUCCAGCUGGAUCCCUCCCCUGGACGAGCCUCGAUGGCUUCCCACUGCUUUAACGCCCAGUCAUCUCGACUGAAAGAGACAGGCCUGACAAAAGAAAACAGCCCAGAACUACCAGACCAGACCAGUGGUGAUGACCGUGUAUGACAUUACAUGUGUGCCUGUCAACCAUACAUCUCUGACAAUGUUGCUAGCAACAUACCUACUAACAUACAUUCUUACAAACAUGUGACCAUAUCUCAACAUAUCUGUGCACAUACCAUUUAACCAUACUGAGACUUAUCUGAGAUCUACACUGAGACAUUCUGAGAACUAUAUUGUUGUGUGAGGACUACUCACUAACUAUAUGGAACAUGUAUACCUGUGUGAAUCAUAUUUGUCAACCAUUCAUAUCUUUGAACCUGUCCUGUGACAUCUAUGAAACUUAGCUGUGCUGUUAGGCCUGAGCUGUGCUGUGUGAAAAAUAAGAUUCUAACCUAAGUUCUGUCUAAAA